UACAGAGGUCCCAAGCGUUGUUCGGAUUCAUUGGGCGUAAAGGGUGCGUAGGCGGCGCGGUAAGUCGGGUGUGAAAUCUCGGAGCUUAACUCCGAAGCUGCAUUCGAUACUGCCGUGCUUGAGGACUGGAGGGGAGACUGGAAUUUACGGUGUAGCGGUGAAAUGCGUAGAUAUCGUAAGGAAGACCAGUGGCGAAGGCGGGUCUCUGGACAGUUCCUGACGCUGAGGCACGAAGGUCAGGGGAGCAAACGGG
rnacentral:rRNA from 1 species